rnacentral:tRNA from 1 species
GUUGUAGCUCAGUGGUAGAGCUCUUGCCUAGCAUGUGUGAGGCACUGGGUUCAAUUCUCAGCACCACA